GGGCCCGCACAAGCGGUGGAGUAUGUGGCUUAAUUCGAUGCAACGCGAAGAACCUUACCCAGGCUUGACAUCCUCGGAACCUGAUGGAAACAUCGGGGUGUCCCCUCACGGGGAAGCCGAGUGACAGGUGCUGCAUGGCUGUCGUCAGCUCGUGUCGUGAGAUGUUCGGUUAAGUCCGGCAACGAGCGCAACCCCUGUCGUUAGUUGCCAUCACGUUUGGGUGGGCACUCUAGGGAAACUGCCGGUGCUAAGCCGGAGGAAGGCGGGGAUGACGUCAAGUCCUCAUGGCCCUUACGGGUAGGGCUACACACGUGCUACAAUGGCAGUGACAAUGGGAUAAUCCCCAAAAGCUGUCUCAGUUCGGAUUGUCGGCUGCAACUCGCCGGCAUGAAGUUGGAAUC
rnacentral:rRNA from 1 species